GGGGGUGUAGCUCAGUGGUAGAGCUUGCCUAGCACACUUGAUGCCCUGGGUUCAAUUCCCAGCACCACAA
rnacentral:tRNA from 1 species